UAGUCCACGCCGUAAACGAUGUCAACUAGCCGUUGGGAUCCUUGAGAUCUUAGUGGCGCAGCUAACGCAUUAAGUUGACCGCCUGGGGAGUACGGCCGCAAGGUUAAAACUCAAAUGAAUUGACGGGGGCCCGCACAAGCGGUGGAGCAUGCGGAUUAAUUCGAUGCAACGCGAAGAACCUUACCUGGGUUUGACAUGGAUCGGUAACUUCCAGAGAUGGUUGCCCCCCUUUUUGGGGUCGGUUCAC
rnacentral:rRNA from 1 species